CACGUAGGGCGCAAGCGUUGUCCGGAAUUAUUGGGCGUAAAGAGCUCGUAGGCGGUCUGUUGCGUCCGCUGUGAAAACUCGGGGGCUUAACCCCGAGCCUGCAGUGGAUACGGGCAGACUAGAGGUAGGUAGGGAGAAUGGAAUUCCCGGUGUAGCGGUGGAAUGCGCAGAUAUCAGGAAGAACACCCGUGGCGAAGGCGGCUCUCUGGGACGGUACUGACGCUGAGACGCGAAAGCGUGGGAGCGAACAGG
rnacentral:rRNA from 1 species